rnacentral:ncRNA from 1 species
AUAAACUCGUAGACGAAGAGAGUAGUCAAUAGCGAUGUCUAAGCGAAUCAGUGAGGGUGUGAGACUGAUACAGAACUUUUGAUGAAGCGUACUUUUGAGAGGUUCAUCUGAAUGAAGUAGGAUGAAAGGUGUUCCGCCUUAAGGAAUGAGUGGAUAUUGUAAAAUAUCAAGAAGAGUGGUACCGCGUUAAUGACGUCUCUUGC